CCGCUCCCCGGCCUUGAUUGACGGGCGAGAGGGAGGAGGAAGAGAAGGAGAAGCAGCCCUGAGGGUUGCGAGGCGCCUCCGCGGGGAGUGGCCCCCCCCCUCUCUCUCUCUCUCUCUCUCCUCCCCCCCGGACACCAUCCCUCGCCCCCGGAGGUCCUGAGGGGGAGGGAAGGCGCGCCCUGUGUCGGGAGGCGAGGGCCAGGCCCGUCCUCGGCUGGGAAGGGAGAACUACAACUCCCAGGCCCACGCCCUGACAGGAUUCCCAGUCGGCCAUGUUGGGCCUGUCAGUGUGCCCAGGCUGACCCGGGCCCGUGUUCGCGGAGGAGGGGUGAGCUAGAACUCCCUGGCGCCACGGCCAGUCACCCCAGACCCCGCCGGGCAGGAGGGCGCAAAGGAGCCGCGUGGGGCCUGCCUGCCUGUGUGCCGACAAACAGAGGAAUUGAUCAGCAGCUGAACAGACUGGAGAGAGAGAGAGGGGGGGGUCUGGGGAGAACUGGCUCUGAUUUAGAGGAGUUGUAGGGACUGGGAUGUAUAGUUCACCUGCCAUCUAAGAACUGCACUCUGAACCCCACCAAUGAUGGACCUGGAACUCACUUGGCACACAGGCCCAACACGGCCAACUUUGCAUACUGAUGGGGUUUGGGGGCGAUUGGCCUUGACUUCCAAGAGUUAUAGUUCACCCAUAUUGGAAUGUAUAGUUCACCAACAAUCAAUGAGGACUCUGAACUCCACCAACAAUUGACCUGGAACUAACUUGGCAAACAGAACCCACAUGACCAGCAAAAAAUACUGGAGGUCUUUGGGGGGAAUUCACCUUGAUUUGGGGGAGUUGUAGUUCACCUCCAUCCAGAGAGUACUGUGAACCCAAACACGGAGGGAUCUGGGCCCAACUUGGCACGCAUACCCGAUAUGCUGAUAUACUGCAGGGGUAUGGGAGGGAAUGUUCUUCCUUUCUGGGAAACGGUGAUCUCCACCGAUGAUGGACCUGGACCACACUUGGCACACAGAAACCCUGUGACUGGCUCAACCUACUGGAGGGGUUGGAGCGGACGAACUCACCAUAGUGGGAGUUGUAGUUCACCCUGCAGCCAGAGAGCAGACUCAACCCUGAGCAAACUUGCCCAACAUCACACACUUUAACCACUGAUGGAGAUUCUGGGGGUUCACCUGGCAUGAUGGGAGUUGUAGUUCACUCUCAACCCUUAUGCAUUUGGGACAGUUGAAACACUGACUUUGUCAAAUAACCUGGGCAACACCAGGGACCCAAGCUAGUCAUAAUGAUGAUGAUAGUGAUGAUGAUGAUGAUGAUGAUGAUAUCAGAUGAGGCCUUUUUUUGAUCCAAGUCCUGGAGAUGAGGCCACCCUCAUGGUUCCGCCUUCCACCAAUCCCCGCGUGGACCCUGAACCCGGUGGGAACCCCAGAGGCCCCCCAGGCCACGCCCAGCCUGGCAGGAGCCCCCCAUCCAAGGCCUCCUCCAAGAGGGACCCUCUCACUGGCUCAGAGAAGCCCCCCGACCAAGGCCCCCAAGAAGGAAGGAAUUGUAAUCUAUUGUAAUUGUUCUAUCGUUCUGUAAUAUACUGUAUUAUUAUAACUUUAUAUCAUAGUAUGAUUGUUAUAUUGUACAGUAGAGUCUUGCUUAUCCAACAUUCUGGAUUAUCCAACGCAUUUUUAUAGUCAAUGUUUUCAAUACAUCGUGAUAUUUUGGUGCUAAAUUCUUAAAUACAGUAAUUACUACAUAGCAUUACUGUGUAUUGAACUACUUUUUCUGUCAAAUUUGUUGUAUAACAUGAUGUUUUGGUGCUUAACUUGUUAAAUCAUAACCUAAUUUAAUGUUUAAUAGGCUUUUUCUUAAUCUCUCCUUAUUAUCCAACAUAUUCACUUAUCCAACGUUCUGCCGGCCCGUUUACGUUGGAUAAGCGAGACUCUACUGUAG
rnacentral:lncRNA from 11 species